GACGAACGCUGGCGGCGUGCUUAACACAUGCAAGUCGAGCGGUAAGGCCCUUUCGGGGGUACGACGAGCGGCGAACGGGUGAGUAACACGUGGGUGACCUGCCCUCAGCUCUGGGAUAAGCCUGGGAAACCGGGUCUAACACCGGAUAUGACUCCAUGACGCAUGUUGUGGGGUGGAAAGCCUUGUGCGGCUGAGGAUGGGCCCGCGGCCUAUCAGCUUGUUGGUGGGGUGANGGCCUACCAAGGCGACGACGGGUAGCCGGCCUGAGAGGGCGACCGGCCACACUGGGACUGAGACACGGCCCAGACUCCUACGGGAGGCAGCAGUGGGGAAUCUUGCGCAAUGGGCGAAAGCCUGACGCAGCGACGCCGCGUGAGGGAUGACGGCCU
rnacentral:rRNA from 1 species